rnacentral:lncRNA from 1 species
AUGACUAUAGAAACCUGUCCUUCCCCAGAAGCAGCAUCAAUGCAGACUAAUUGGAUUUUGAUUAUUUUAUCCGUCUUGGUGACCAUGGGACUGCUGAUGGUGGCCCAGAGCCAGUAUCAACUGAAGAGCAUUCUGGACAGCAAGAUUAAAAAAAUGGAUGUAGCGUUUGAGCAAUUUACUGUUGACUAUCUAAGUAAGGACGUCUUCAAAACCUCUGUGGAAAAACUGCUGGUUCAGAGCCAGGAAGAAGUGAAUAAUCUGGAAGCUGCACUCAAUAAACUCAGUUCAGAAACGGAGCAGAAGAAAAUGGAAAACGAUGCAUGCCAAGAACAAAUGAAAACCACACAAGUAGAGCUGGAAAGUAUCCAAAAGACACAAAGUGAAACUAAAGCUUCCUUGGAUGCAGAGGUUGAGGCCUGGACUAAGGAGAUUAACACUCUGAAAGAAAUACAGACACAAUACAGUCCAGUAUGUGCCUAUGUGAAGACGAGCAAGUUAGCUGAGAAAUUCUGUGGCAUAAACACAAACAAUGAAACAGCUUCGGAUAAGGAUAAAACCAAUGAGAAUAAAGUUAAUAAUUAA